GAUGAACGCUGGCGGCGUGCCUAAUACAUGCAAGUCGAGCGAACAGACGAGGAGCUUGCUCCUCUGACGUUAGCGGCGGACGGGUGAGUAACACGUGGAUAACCUACCUAUAAGACUGGGAUAACUUCGGGAAACCGGAGCUAAUACCGGAUAAUAUAUUGAACCGCAUUGUUCAAUAGUGAAAGACGGUUUUGCUGUCACUUAUAGAUGGAUCCGCGCCGCAUUAGCUAGUAGGUAAGGUAACGGCUUACCAAGGCAACGAUGCGUAGCCGACCUGAGAGGGGGAUCGGCCACACUGGAACUGAGACACGGUCCAGACUCCUACGGGAGGCAGCAGUAGGGAAUCUUCCGCAAUGGGCGAAAGCUUGACGGAGCAACGCCGCGUGAGUGAUGAAGGUCUUCGGAUCGUAAAACUCUGUUAUUAGGGAAGAACAAAUGUGUAAGUAACUAUGCACGUCUUGACGGUACCUAAUCAGAAAGCCACGGCUAACUACGUG
rnacentral:rRNA from 1 species